CACAUGUUACUGUGUGUGUGUGUGUGUGUGUUGUUAGGGUGAAUGUCUGCUUUUGAAGGAGGAAUGUGCUGUUGACUGUUUAUUACAUUUCAAUUCUUCCAGGAUGAGGUCAACGUCAUCGCCUUCAUCUGUGGACCAAACCGUCGUGGUUCCAUGAUUCAUCUCGGGGCCCAGAGCUGCGGCCCCAGACGUCCUGGAUCAGGAAUUUCUAGACUGGCAGGAGCUUUUCAACUAUUUCAAUGAAGACGUUCCAUCGCAGGUUGGUUGUCUUCUCUUCAACUUUGUAGCUGAUUGCAGUGAACGUUGAAGCAGGUUGACCACUUACAAACAUUGCUGUCUUAAAUAUCUGCAAUAGAUAGUUUCACCGAAAGCAGCUAGUGUUCCACUUGUGUAAG
rnacentral:lncRNA from 1 species